AGAGCUGUAAGUUAUAGUAAACUAUAAGAUUUCAAAUCUUAAAAUAAGAUAAUAUUCUUUAGUUCUG
rnacentral:tRNA from 1 species